CUUUUAGAGAAAACUGAUGUGGAAAACUCAGCCAAAAGCUAGCAAGUGUCAAGUGAAUCGACAACAUCACCACAAACGUCUUUUCAAGCCAGCGGGGGAAGAAUGGCAGUGGUAGAACAUCAACAGACAAAAAAGCAUAAAGCCUCUCUGAUUGGCCGUGUUGGUAUGCUCUCUUUCACCACAUUCUUCAAGAAGGUAGAGCCUUCCCAAGAAGGAGGAGGGAUGUCUUUGCAUACCACACUAUGCAACACAAUCAUAGUUACAGAUCUCUGGGCUGCACAGCACAACUGACACGGAAGCUUUAUGAGCCGAAGUUUACAUGUGCUAGGACAAAAUGUGAAGCCAUAGCGAGUAACGUGUUUACACCAUGGCUAACUACUUUGGUAACACAGGACCUAGACCAGGUUGAAUUUGUGUCCCUGUCCAUUGAUGCGUCCAAUCAUGGACAUGUAAAGCUGCUGCCAAUACUAGUCAGAUAUUGUAAGAUAUAUGAUGGCAACACAUCCGUGGAAACAAACCUGCUUGAUUUUGUUGAAUUGCAAGGAGAAAUAGCCGAGGAAAUUGCUGCUGAGGUCCUGGUGUUCAUCCAAAAAUGAAACCUGGAAAACAAAGUCGUGGCAUUCUCUGCCGACAACACAAAUACCAACUUUGGAGGACUGAAUAGGCUGGGGAGGGUCAAUGUCCAUACCAAAGUUAAAAAUGCUCUGAAAUGGGAGGUGAUUAGAUUAGGUUGUCCUGCCCGCAUCAUUCAUAACACGGCCAGAACAGAUUUGGAUAUGAUUCCCCUUGAUGAUGAGUACCUGCUCACAAAGAUAUUUGGAUAUUUGUAUAGAAAGACUGAAGAGCUUUUUUUUAGGACACAGAAAUGUUCGCUGGCUGUCCAUGUUCCCGGCUCUAGAAAGAGUGCUGAAAAUGUAUGUGCCAUGGAAAUCCUUUUUUCUUUCUGAAGACAAAUACCCUGUUGUCCUGCAAACAAUGUUCGAAGAUCCACCGACUGAAUUUUGGCCUUUGUCCAUGGAAACCUGACCUAUUCAGUGACACAAUCAAGAUGCUUGAAGGCCAGGACCGCUGUGCUGUGGAGUCAGCUGCAAUUCUGAGAAACAUUAAGGCAAAAUUGACUGCAAGACGUGAUGACAACUUCAUUCCAGUUUUAGUCAGAGGACUUCUGAGAGAGCUGGAGGAAAAUGGAGCCAAGUCUAAAGACAGCUUUCUCAAAACAUCCCAAUCAUUCUUCACUACGGCUGUGAACUACUUGCAAGCAUGGGAAAAGCACACAGAUAAUCUAAAAGAUUUACAUUGUCUCCUUUUUAAAAAGGCAACCUCAGCGUGAAGAGAUCCAGAAGGCAGCAGGCACACUGCAGGAAAAAUGCCCCAAUGUGGCCAUCAAUGAGGAUGCAUUGUUUGACAAGGUUACUGGCCAGCAAAAGUUCCUAAAGGGAGGAUUGCUUGAAGAAUGGAAAACAUCUGAGACAUAGCUUAGUCAGAGAUGGAGCACGAUGGUUACCCACUUCAAAGAGAACAACAUCCCACACACUAACCUGGCUAGAUUAGCGUCUGUUGUCAUGUGCUUACCUGGAAGUUGUACACCAGUUGAGAGAGUGUUCUCCAAAUGAAUGAUCUAUGGACAGCAGCAAGAAAUAGGUUCCUACCAUCAAGGCUAUGCUUAUUGUGAAUAUAAACUUCAACCUCCUCUGCCAGGAGUUCAUGGAGAAGCUGGCCAAAGACAUAGCAAUCCUGAAGAAGAUACAUUCUGCUGAGAAAUAUUCAGAUUAGGUUGGUAUAAGUAUAUUAUGUAGUUACCAAUCUCAUUUUAUUUCUUUAUUUUGUUAAGUAUUUCACAUAUACUAUUGUCUGGUUUUUUUUUUCUUCAAUUUUGCUCAUGUUCUCUUCUGUUCUUAUUCUACCCAGACUACCAGGACCACUGAAUGGCUGUUCAGAUUGGACAGUUCUGUCUUGUCUGUAAUGUUUCUGUAAUAAAGUAGUUUUUUCUACCACA